rnacentral:pre_miRNA from 1 species
ACUCCCUCCGUCUCAAAAUAAGUGCAGUUUUAGCACUAUUCAUGUUCAACGUUUGACCGUUCGUCUUAUUUCAAAAAAUAUUAUGAUUAGUAUUUUUAUUGUUAUUAGAUGAUAAAACAUGAAUAGUACUUUAUGUGUGACUAAUUUUUUUAAUAUUUUUCAAAUAAGACGGAUGGUCAAAGCGCUAAACACGGAUAUCUAUGGCUGCACUUAUUUUGGGACGGAGGUAG